CCCCCAGACUCCUACGGGAGGCAGCAGUGGGGAAUAUUGGGCAAUGGGCGCAAGCCUGACCCAGCAACGCCGCGUGAAGGAAGAAGGCUUUCGGGUUGUAAACUUCUUUUCUUGGGGACGAAGAAAGUGACGGUACCCAAGGAAUAAGCCACGGCUAACUACGUGCCAGCAGCCGCGGUAAUACGUAGGUGGCAAGCGUUAUCCGGAUUUAUUGGGUGUAAAGGGCGUGUAGGCGGGAAUGCAAGUCAGAUGUGAAAACUAUGGGCUCAACCCAUAGCCUGCAUUUGAAACUGUGUUUCUUGAGUACUGGAGAGGCAGACGGAAUUCCUAGUGUAGCGGUGAAAUGCGUAGAUAUUAGGAGGAACACCAGUGGCGAAGGCGGUCUGCUGGACAGCAACUGACGCUGAGGCGCGAAAGCGUGGGGAGCAAACAGGAUUAGAUACCCCUGUAU
rnacentral:rRNA from 1 species